rnacentral:lncRNA from 1 species
UUAUUAAGUUGUUAGCAUUUUGGAUAGAACCUCAAGUUUAUUAAUGUGAAAAUGCAUGAGCAUGUAAGAAAUGGAUGCAUCAUGAGAAAACGGUGCAAAAACAUAUGAAGAACACCGCAAACCGAGCUACGGAUCUUUCAGAAAUCACAAACCAAGGUGCGGAAGGCCAGAAUGACUAAACAACAUUUGAGAGGGAGCUACGGGCAUUUUCUUGGCUUUCCAAGUAUGCAAGUGGACAGGGCACCAAAUUCUAGGUGCAAUAGAUCUAAAAUAC